rnacentral:piRNA from 1 species
UACAGUUAUUGGAAUGGAAGGAAGGAACU